GCUCAAAUAGUCUCAAAAGCAACAAGAAAGCCAAGUUUUUCUGAAUAGUUCUGAAAGUCUUGAUUAACCUAACAGAAAGAUUUCCAAUGGACUGAACCUUAAAAUGAAACAACAAACAUGAGCAGAUCAUCACGUGGAGGUGAAGGUGGAGGAAGGCUCAGAGUCUGUCACCCUGCACUGCAAAACAACACCUGACCUGCCUGAGAACACCAGAGUGGAGUGGACUCGCUCUGACCAUGAACUCUUGAUAGUUCAGGAGUAUUCAAACAAAGGUGGCAAACUUAUGAAACAGGACAAGUUUUACAGAGACCGAACAGAAAUGAAUGAAGACCUGCUGAAAACUUCAGCCUGACCCUGAAACAGCCCACAGAGAGAGACACAGGAGGAUACAUCUGCACCAUCUACAGGGACAAAGACAUCCUGAGACAGAAAGUAGUGCUGCACUAUGUCAGAGGUCAGAGCUGGUGGACAGUGGC
rnacentral:lncRNA from 1 species